AGUCUUCAAGUCAGCUACACAGCUUCACUUCACGUAGCACUUCUUGUACGACUUCAUGUAGUACUUCACGACUGGUACAUGGACACCUCGAGGAGUUGUUUUUCUUCAGCUUCUAAAACUCAGUCGUCACUGCACUAACAAUCUCCCCCUUGAUGAUUGAGCUUUAGAAUACACUACAAAAAAGUCUACAUUGAUAGCACAUUUUUAUAGCACGUUUUACUAAACUGCUAUCGUAGAUGAUCAAGGAAUUUUUAUAUUAUAUCAUAGCGUUAGAUAAAUGCUAUAGUAUAAUUAAACGCUACGAUAAAGUUUCAACAAGCUGGAACCUAAAACUAAAUUUUACCUUAAUGAAAAUCACUAAACUAAUCAUUAUCCUUCUCCUAACUCUCAUUUUCCCACCCUCAA
rnacentral:lncRNA from 1 species